CAUUCUUCUUCUUCUGC
rnacentral:sRNA from 1 species